rnacentral:rRNA from 1 species
CCUACGGGAGGCAGCAGUGGGGAAUAUUGGACAAUGGGGGGAACCCUGAUCCAGCGACGCCGCGUGAGUGAAGAAGUAUUUCGGUAUGUAAAGCUCUAUCAGCAGGGAAGAAAGAAAUGACGGUACCUGACUAAGAAGCCCCGGCUAACUACGUGCCAGCAGCCGCGGUAAUACGUAGGGGGCAAGCGUUAUCCGGAUUUACUGGGUGUAAAGGGAGCGUAGACGGCGAUGCAAGUCUGAAGUGAAAGGCGGGGGCCCAACCCCUGGACUGCUUUGGAAACUGUAUGGCUGGAGUGCAGGAGAGGUAAGUGGAAUUCCUAGUGUAGCGGUGAAAUGCGUAGAUAUUAGGAGGAACACCAGUGGCGAAGGCGGCUUACUGGACUGAAACUGACGUUGAGGCUCGAAAGCGUGGGGAGCAAACAGGAUUAGAUACCCCAGUAGUC